CUACGGGGCGCAGCAGCGGGGAAUAUUGCACAAUGGGCGCAAGCCUGAUGCAGCAACGCCGCGUGAGGGAUGAAGGCCUUCGGGUUGUAAACCUCUUUUAGCAGGGAAGAAGCGAAAGUGACGGUACCUGCAGAAAAAGCACCGGCUAACUACGUGCCAGCAGCCGCGGGAAUGACGUAGGGUGCAAGCGUUGUCCGGAAUUAUUGGGCGUAAAGAGCUCGUAGGCGGUUUGUCACGUCUGCUGUGAAAAUCCAAGGCUCAACCUUGGACUUGCAGUGGGUACGGGCAGGCUAGAGUGCGGUAGGGGAGAUGGGAAUUCCUGGUGUAGCGGUGGAAUGCGCAGAUAUCAGGAGGAACACCAAUGGCGAAGGCACAUCUCUGGGCCGUAACUGACGCUGAGGAGCGAAAGCGUGGGGAGCGAACAGGAUUAGAUCCCGAGUAGUC
rnacentral:rRNA from 1 species